GAGUCAGCUGAGCUGCCUGGGCGAGGUUGUGAUUACCUGGGAUCUGCUAAGGGGAGCCUAUAAUCUCUUGGGACUGGAGCUGGGGUGCAAAGCUGCGCCAUGGACUAGUUGGGGCUCCUCGAUCGUCUCGUCCUUCACAGAGAAAGCGAAAAGGGCCCCAGAAUUUUUAAAAGGUUCUCAGGAUCUGUCAGACGCUGGGGAAGCACAACUUGCAAAUCCAGGACGACCGGGGUCCCAGUUGUGACCCCCAGCCCCCAGAUCAGAGAUCCAGAACUUGAUUGCCAUGGCGUCCAUCCUGGAUGAGUACGAGGACUCAUUGUCCCGCUCGGCCGUCUUGCAGACUGGUUGCCCUAGCGUGGGCAUCCCCCAUUCUGGUAAGUUAGAAGAGGCCGCCUCUGCCCCUUUCUGUUAUGGUAGCAUUUACGGGGGAGAGAAGCUCUAGAGCUUGCAGCGUGUGUUUAGGAUCUAAGCCCCAGGCCUUUCUUGUCUUGCCCAGCUUGUCAUUGGUCGAAGUUUGAAAGAGCCACAGGAACAGCCUCGUGAUCUAGGCCUUAACUCAAAGGUCCUUCAAAAGAGGGAACUUGGGCUCAGAUAAGGAAGUACUUGUUACUUUUGUCUAUAGGCUGCAGUUGGGAGAACUGAAUAUAGGUUCCAGGCUUCUGUGUCUUGUUCUAUGGAUUUUUUUUAAAGCUUUUGGAGUCUGUGUAUGUGUUCGUUCCCACCAGACUUCAUCUUGAGGUAGCAGAGGAGGCAGAAUGAGCACUGAACUUGGUGGAACGUGAAUGUUAUAAGUGAAGGAGGGUCGAUCCAAAAGGGAAUUUUGUUACUGAACAGGAACAAUGGAGAUGAUUGUCCCGGGGUAAAGCUGGCUGCAGUUUAGAGUGUAGGAGAGCAGCGCAGGGUUACCCACACUAUGAUGAUAUUGCAGCGGACUAUCGAGAAAGCAACUGUAGCCUAUGAACUGGACUGAUAGGACUGGGUUCCCAGAACUCUCUACAUACAAUGGAGACUCACUGAACCAUACUGUGUGGACAGCAAGGAAGGGACUUUAGUUUCUCUUGGCCAAAGACCAUAAGGGAGAAUGCCAAAACCAUCCUCCCUGUACUGUCUCCCCCCACCCCCGUUACCACUGGGAACGUGCAUAUCAUGAUACAACCUCAUCUCAGGCACAGAGAACCAAUCCCUUACUACUGUCACAAGUGUGGGAAGAGCCCAGGACCCUUCCAAUAAAGACAACCAGAAAACUAUUUCAUGUUGAACUCUUUAUGAACCAAGACCCUGUGGGUAGGAAUAUACUUGGGAAGCAGAAGUAUCAGCUAACACUGGGGUUUCUCUGGGUUUCUGGGUGCCUCACCCCCCUCUGGACGCCUUUUUCUCUUGUCUUCCCCACCUAUAGGGUAUGUAAGUGCCCACCUGGAGAAGGAGGUGCCCAUCUUCACCAAGCAGCGGGUUGACUUCACCCCCUCGGAGCGGAUCACUAGCCUCGUGGUCUCCUGCAAUCAGCUCUGCAUGAGCCUGGGCAAGGAUACACUGCUCCGGUAGUAUCUUUGGAGACUUUUAGCUGACUAGGGUCUUUUUCCAUACUUAGCAAAUGACACAAUAGCUUUUCAGGAGAUGCACUAUUCCUUCCCAAAGAGAACCAGUGUGGUGGCUGAAGAUCAGAGAGAACUAUGUUCAGAUUCCACCCAUGCUGUUGAACGAGUCAGCUAAUCAUUCUGGUCUUUCAACAGGGGGAAAGGUGCUCUCAGCCUCCCAGAGUUAGCCACACAGAUCAUUGGGACAGUCUGGAAUCCUGAAGUAUGUCCGCUAUUUGCCAAAAGUGUUGACAGCGUUGUUUAUCAUUUGGGAUAAGCCAUCUGGAAUAAGACAGUUAGACCUCUGUCCCACAAGGAUGAAUCCCAGCACGAAUAGUUAUUAGAACAACGGGUGUUGGGAUUGUGGCCCAGUGAUAGAGUACCUGGCAUUCCUGAGGCCUUGGGUUUGAUUCCCGGCACUGCAAAUGAAAUGCUGUAGAUAAGUGAGGCUGGAGUUCUGUUGGGAGAGUUCUUGCAGAGCACGCUCAGUCCUUGAUUAGAUACUCAGCAUAGCAGAACCCGGGUAUGGUGGUGCACACAGUGCUUGGGAGGUGGAGGCAGGAGGAUCUCAAGUUCAAGGUCAUCCUUGGCUUCAUUGUAAGUUUGGAGAGCCUGUUUUAAACAAUCAGACUUAAGUGUGUGGCACAUGCCUGUAGUCUUAGCACUCGGGAGGCUGACAGAGGAAGAUUGGGAGCCAGCGCUGUGCUGCAUAGUGAGACCCCUGUCUCAGACAAACGAAAAAAGGAACAAACCUCUUAGAAACGAGUAAGAUGACAAUUUAUAAGAAAGGCGAGUGUAUACAAAGCCCACAAGCAGUGCACCCAGCAAGAACUUCAGGGAUGGUCAGCCAGGAAAGAGCUUUCUUUGUAAGUGUGAGAACCCAAUUUCAGAUCCCCAGAACCCAUGUAAAAAGCUGCACUCCGGCAAAUAUGUAACCCCAGCUCUGGAGUGCAUUAGAGACAAGUGAGUCUCGGGAACUUGCAGGCUAGCCAGUCUGGCCAAAUUGGUGAGCUCUGGAUUCAGUGGGAGACCCCUAUCCCAAAAAAUACAGUGGGCUGGAAUUUGCUUACAUGCGCGAGAACACAUACACACACACAAUUAAAUAAGAUGAAUAUUUAAAUUAUAUUCUAUUCUGGGUGUAGUAGUACACACACAUCUUUAACUCCGAAUACUUGUCAGGCGGAUCUCAGAGUUUAAGGCCAGACUGAUACACAGAACUAGUUUCAGGUCAGCCAGGGCACAGAGAAACCCUGUCUCGAAACAAAGCAAACAAACAAAAAAGAAUGAAGUGCUCUUGACCAAUGAGGCAUCUCUCCAGGCCCUUUACCUCCUUCUAACACAUGGAGCACAGGGAUCAAACUCAGACAUCAGGUGCGGAGUCGAGAACCUUGACCUGCUGGGUCGUCUCACCAGCCCCAGAAAUGUACUUUGGGAGUAGAGGCAGCAGAAUCAGAAAUCCAGGGUCACCCUAGGCUACACAGGAAGAUCUAGGCCAGCUCAGUUUACAUGAGAUUCUGUCUGCCUCAAAAAAAAAAAAAAAAAAUGGGACAGAGAGAGUGCUCAUCAGUUAAGAGCGCUGGUUGCUCUUGUGGAGGCCCUGAAUUCAAUUUCCAGUGCCCACACGGUGACUCACAACUAUCUGUAACUCCCGUUCCAGGGCAGCCACCUUCUUCUGACUUCCAUGGGAUGGGUGCAUGGUACACAUACAUACAUGCAGGCAGGCAAAACAUUCAGACGCCAGGCCAGACAGUGGUGGUGCACGCCUUUAAUCCCAGCACUCAAGAGGCAGAGGCAGGCAGAACUCUGGGAUUUCGAAGCUAGUGAGUUCCAGGACAGCCAGGGCUACACAGAGAGAGAAUGGC
rnacentral:lncRNA from 1 species